UUUCUUUCUCUUCCUUCCUUUCUUUUUCUUUCUUUCUCUCUUUCACUCUUUUUCUUUUUUCUCUUCCUUUCUCUUUUUUCUAUCUCUUCCUUUCUUUUUCUUUUCUUCCCUUGUCUUUCUUUUUUUCUUCCUCUCUUUUUUCCUUUCUUUCUCUUCCUUCCUUUCUCUCUCUUUUUCUUUUUCUUCCUUUCUCUUUUCCUUCCUUCCUUCCUUCCUUCCUUCCUUCCUUCCUUCCUUCCUUCCUUCCUUCCUUCUUCCCUCCCUCCCCAGUCUCUCCCCUCUUUUUCUUCUUUCCAUUUCUGUGUAUAUUUCUAUUUCUUAAAAAAAAAUUUUUUUUAACAUUUAUUCAUUUUUGAGAGUGAGAGAGAGCUUGAGUAGGGGAGGGGCAGAGAGAGAGGGAGACACAGAAUCUGAAGCAGGCUCCAGGCUCUGAGCUGUCAGCACAGAGCCCAACACGGGGCUCGAGCUCAUGGGGCUCGAACUCAUGGACCCACGUGAGAUCACGACCUGAGCUGAAAUUGGACGCUUAACCAACUGAGCCACUCAGGUGCCCCUCUGUGUCUGUCUGUGUCUAUGUCAAUUUAAAAUUAGGAGACCUGGUAGCAGUUAUCCUGAAUUCCCAUAUGACAUCUGUCGGCUGGAGCUGGGUGGUGGUUGCCCCUCAACUGGGGCACAAAUUCUCGAGUUGGUCAGGUUCACACCACACCCUGUCAUGAGCUCCCACACCAACGCUGGGUGUCAUUUGCCACUUACCAUAUUUUUGAUGGUGUUUUCUUUUAGUGAGGCAAAAGGGAAAUGAAAUAUUUCUUAUACUUACAUUUUUUUUUUAACAAAAAUAUACAAAGAGAGAAAGAAGGCCGAGGGUUUCAAUAAUUUUUUUUCUCAUGCCCUGGCCAGCUGCCCUCGUUUAUUAUCUGCCUGGUUUCCACAGGCGUAUACAUGUGUGACCUUGGUUAGACUCAGGAGUGAGCAUCAUGAGCUCAGAGCCCGUAGAGAAUGGUUGGGUGAAAGCUGAGGUUUACUGCUGGGAUGUGUGUGUUAUGUGUUGUUUAGAUACAUAAAGUGUGCGCACAAAUUCUUGCCCUCUGCUUGUCUGUAGAGCUGGAGUUGGUCCAGUCUCUCACCCAGUUCAUGAAUCCUCUUUAAAGCACUCCUGAUGGGGUGCCUGGCUGGCUCAGUUGGAGCCUGCGACUCUUGAACUCAAGGUUGUUAGUUCUGGCCUCACAUUGGGUGUAAAGAUUACGUUAAAAAAAAUAAAAAAAAUAAAAAUAAAGGGUUCCUGAUAGAUGAAGCCAUGAGUAAUGUAUAGACUCUUUUUUUAAAAAUGUAUUUAUUUACAUAUUCCGUAUUUAUGUAUUUAUCUACAUAUUUACAAGUUUAUGUAUUUAUUUUGAGAGAGAAUGUGCGUGCACGAGCAGGGGAGAGGCAGAGACAGAGACAGAGAGAGAGAGAGAGAAUAUCCCAAGCAGAGAGAAUAUCCCAAGCAGGCUCCUUGCUGUCAUCCCAGACCAGACUGUGAGAUCAUGACCUGAGCUGAAACCAGGAGUCGGAUAGUCAACCAACCGAGCCACCAAGGCAUCCCUGUAUAGACUUUUUAAGGCAAAUUUUUUUUCACAGACCCUCCAUGUUCAUUUAGUAUAUUUUGGUUAUGUUACUUAAAAAUAAUUCAAACAUAAACUUGUACAUAAAGUCCUUUGAUUAUAGUUGCGGUUCAAUCAUAACUAAAAGAUGUGCACAGAACAAAUUCACUCAGCAUUAAAAAAGCAAUAAAUUCGAAUUAACAUCAUUAAUUUGAUACGAUAAAUGCUAAUUUGCCAAACUCAGUUGACGCUCUCAGUAUGAAUAUGAUGCUAACCCCUAAUUCAGAUUUUCUUGGGUUAAACGAGGCCGCUCAGGUGUGCUCCAUGGGAUAACUCAGUUCACCCACUGCUUUCGUCUGUUGUGAUCACUACAAAAUUAUGAUGUCACUUUUCCCUUUACCUGGGACAGUACAUCAUGUACAUGUUAGUUCUUCCUGUGUUCUUUCUCUGCUAUCAGUUUUCAGAUAAAGUAAUGCUACUUGGGUUCACCGUGUUUAUUUUUUUUGUAUAUGUUAAAAAAAAUUUUAUGAGUAAUCUCUAUGCCAACCUGGGGCUUGAACUCACAACCCUGAGAUCAAGAGUUGCCUGCUGUACAGACUGAGCCAGCCAGCCGUCCCAGGUCCAAUGUGUUUACAACACAAAGGCAAAUGAUAACACUGGAUUUGCUGGGGGAUAUUUGCUUAUUUAAAAACUUUAAGGAUUAUUUUCAUAAUGAAAUUCACAAAACUGAACACUUCUCAUAGGGAACUCUUAGAUUCCCAAAGUAUAUGUCUAUAAACCUUCAAGGGUCCAAAGAUCCCAGAUGGAGAAGAAUCCGUCUAGUUCAUUAUCGGUCACUGGAUGACAUAUGUACUGACUUUCCCAUGGCAUGGCGUUUCCCAUUUUUCCAUCAGCCCAUGGCACAAUGGAUAAUCGAUGUAGGUACUCUUUCCUCUCUGAGCCUGGGCUGCUCUUCAAGGCAUUCUCUGCACAAUCAGAGCCAGUCCUUCAGAGUUGGAGUUAAAUCUUAUUUGCCUAGUCGGUGGGAUAGACUAGAUUAUGGAGAAUUUUUCACUCUAGCUGUAGGGGCUCGGCCUUACUAGGAAGCAGUGGGAAUAUUUGGAGAAGAGAAUGCUGUGGGAGGGUUGCUUUAGUGGCAGUCCUUGGGAUGGUAGGAAGGAUUCACAAGUGGAUCCUGGUAUGCCUGGAAAGAGACCGUUCCUUUUUUCAUUCAUUUGUCAGUACUGGAGUACCCGCCGUGGUUGAUGGGGUGGGGGGUGGAGGCUAAGACUUGGCACCUUGCUUCAAAGGUCUUAUUAAUUUGUUCAUCAGAUGCUUAUCGUAUCCCUGGUGUGUGCCAGAGAUUAGGAUGCACACAGGGCAUAUCAUAGCCAGCAAGCAAAAACAGUCUCCUCAUGGAUUUUAGGGUUUAAUGGAGAAGAUAUUCCUGUGACAAGUCAGGACACGUUUUGAUGAAUAUUGCAGAAAGGGAAGCAGGCGUAGCUCUGGGAAUGGAUGGUGGGGAGUCCUCACCUCUUCUAGUGGCCUAAAGGAUUGGUGGGGUUGGGGUAGCCAUUUGAGGGUAUGUGCUUGUGUGUUGAGGGAGAGAGAAUGUUUCAGGUGUAGGGAACAGAGGCCCAGCCAGGGGACAAAGAUGGUGAUCUGAGCUGAGGCAUUCACAGGGAUCAGAUUGUAGAGACAGGACCUGGGACUUGAUCCUAAGGACAAUGGCGAGUCAAGGAAGGGGUUGAUGUAGGGGCGAUUUGCGAUGCCUCUAGCUCCAGGAUCGUGGAUAGAACAGAGGAGAAGGUGGCAGAGAAAGCAUUUGGAGGUCAUGAUAGUCCAAGAGAUGUGAUGAUGGCCUUGACACUAGGGGGGGCGGCAAGAGGAAGGCAGAGAGGCGAACAGAUCGAUACUUUAUAGGAGCUAGAAAUGACCAGAUUUGGCAAAUGGACGUUCCACAGCUUUCAGACUUGAGCCAUUUCUGGGUAUCUUCUAGAAAGGGGGGCAGCACUGGUGGGAGCAGAUGCUUCACUGUCAGGAGAUGGUGAGCGUGAGAUGCCUGUGAAGCACGUAAGUAGAGAUGGCCUCGCAGGCCGUUCUUUACAUGGUCCUGAAGCCACAUGAGGAUCUCCGAAUAAGGGGGGGAGGUCUGGACCAGUGACAGAAGUAUGGGGACCUUUGGUGUGUAGUUUUAGGAGUAGAUUCAGCUGCGUGGGAAGAAUUUCAAGAACACGUCUUGCAAAUUGGUGAACUAAACUCUAAUUUGACCCUUGCAAGGGUAGAAAGGUGUACGUGUGCCCAAAUGUGUCUUUUUUUUUUUUUGAGACAGAGAGAGACAGAGCAUGAACAGGAGAGGGGAAGAGAGAGAGGGAGACACAGAAUCUGAAACGGGCCCCAGGCUCUGAGCUGUCAGCACAGAGCCCGACGCGGGGCUCGAACCCACGGACCGUGAGAUCAUGACCUGAGCUGAAGUCGGACGCUUAACCGACUGAGCCACCCAGGCGCCCCAUCUUUUUUUUUUUUUUUUUUU